UCCCUAACUCUCUCUUUCUCUCUCUUUCUUGCCGGAGACUCGGAUCUCCGGCAUGUCCUAUUUUAUUUUUUGUUUUUUCCCUAUUUUUAUUAUUGAUUUUCUGUCUAUUUAAUAUCAGAUUUUCUUUUCUCUCCUUCUCUCUAUGGUUUAGCUUUGAUUGUUGCUUUAGCUUAUUUAGUCCCCGGAAUCUGACAUGGGUAGAUGAUUCAUCAACUGGGUUUUGUUUUUCAAUGGUUAUUUAGGCCGGAAUCCUACAUGGGUGGGUGUCUUGAUUUUGCCGGCAUCCGAUGGGAAAAAUCUGACCCACAUGCCCCAAAUUCUGAAUUUUCAAAAUAGGAGCUUGCUAGAUUUUGAUUCCAUUUUGUUAGCUCCAUGUUUUCUGAAAACAUAUUUUCUGUUUUAGAAAAAAAAAAAAAACAAACAGAGAAAUAGGGUUUUGUUUUGUUCUAAGAGACGGAGAAGCUCAAUACAUUAGACUCUUCUUUGGGUGUGAAGUCAUCGCUUUACAUUUUAGCCACUAGUAACUGGCCACGCCAGCACAUGCCAGUGGCCCUGACGCAAAGCAUCAUCAAGAUUCACAUGCAAAUGCACGGUGGUGAUGUUAUCUCUGCCAAACUUUUCAAGGAUGAGAAUCUUGAUGAUGCUGCAUCGGCAAUAAACUACUAUACAAAGGGCUCUCUCGUCACUUGUUGAGCAAGGUGAUUCUUUCUUUUUGGUUUUCUGUUAAUGUCUCAGGUGGGUUUAUUGUAUUUCUUUUUCGUGGGGAUUCUUUAUUUGGAGCAGUCCAUCUAUGGAUUGUGCAGUGUAGACUUUCAAUGUGUUUUUUCCAGAGAUCAUUUUGUAGACAACUACGAAAGAAUUUAAUGCAUCAAUGACCAUUCAAAGGUCACUUAGCUGUGCUGACUUUGUAGAUCUGUGAUUAUUCUUCUGAACCACAAAAAAAAAAAAAAAAAAAAAAAAAUCUGAUGUGAUGGAAAUGGCAUCUCUUUAUUCAGCUUCUUGAUGAGAUGGGAGUUCAGACCAUGUCUAAAAACUGUGCGCAGAGAAAGGGCUUCAUUCUUUAAUCAUACGAGUGUUUGAUUUAUAAUUUUUCGAGCUUACUGGCCUCUGCAGAUCUUUGAUUUUGAUUAUUCUUUUUGAGAUGAACGUUAGUGGGGUUUCAUCGCUCAAGUACUGCAGGAAGACAAAGGAGCAACUAUCACCUGGAGGUACCGGGGGAACUGAUAAGAUGGGAGAUGAAACAUAUACCUGAGCAGAAAGCUAAUUAAGAAAAGAGAUUUCAUCUAGGCAUUAGGAGCGCUACAAGAAAAUGGAGGAAAUGAAGGGGUGCGGAGUUUCUCAACAGUUGGAGCUGAAACUGUUGUUGCAAGAUUAGUCUAGGCACCACCUUCUCCAAUCCAAGAUUUCACAUCCUUUGGCAUAUUUCUAUAUGGUCUCAAACCAUGGAAUGAAUAUGCAAAAAGACUUGAGUCAUGGACACAGGCAACCAAUUAUUGCAAAAAUUUGGUCAACUAAUACUCCUUUCCUCUUCCAUUCGCAAACAGCAAUCCCUCUAUGUAACCUAACCUUUUCUGUACGUGAUAUUGGCCCAGUUAGUAACAGAAGAUGUUUAACUAAGCCAUUAGGUACUUUGUUAGAAGAAGAAUAACAUGUAGCUUGAGACAUUAAUUUCUACAUAUAUAUUAAAAGCUUAUGGCAUGGUCACUAAGUGAAUUCUUAAUGGACCAUUUUUGUCUUCAA